GACGAACGCUGGCGGCGUGCUUAACACAUGCAAGUCGAACGGUAAGGCCCUCCGGGGUACACGAGUGGCGAACGGGUGAGUAACACGUGGGUGAUCUGCCCUGCACUUCGGGAUAAGCCUGGGAAACUGGGUCCAAUACCGGAUAGGACCACUGCCUGCAUGGGCGGUGGUGGAAAGCUUUUGCGGUGGGGGAUGGGCCCGCGGCCUAUCAGCUCGUGGGUGGGGGGAUGGCCUACCAAGGCGACGACGGGUAGCCGGCCUGGGAGGGUGACCGGCCACACUGGGACUGAGAUACGGCCCAGACUCCUACGGGAGGCAGCAGUGGGGAAUAUUGCACAAUGGGCGCAAGCCUGAGGCAGCGACGCCGCGUGAGGGAUGACGGCCUUCGGGUUGUAAACCUCUUUCAGCACCGACGAAGCGCAAGUGACGGUAGGUGCAGAAGAAGGACCGGCCAACUACGUGCCAGCAGCCGCCGUAA
rnacentral:rRNA from 1 species